rnacentral:rRNA from 1 species
UUUAAUUGAAGAGUUUGAUCAUGGCUCAGAUUGAACGCUGGCGGCAGGCCUAACACAUGCAAGUCGAGCGGCAGCGGGGGGAAGCUUGCUUCCUCGCCGGCGAGCGGCGGACGGGUGAGUAAUGUCUGGGAAACUGCCCGAUGGAGGGGGAUAACUACUGGAAACGGUAGCUAAUACCGCAUAACGUCGCAAGACCAAAGUGGGGGACCUUAGGGCCUCACACCAUCGGAUGUGCCCAGAUGGGAUUAGCUAGUAGGUGGGGUAAUGGCUCACCUAGGCGACGAUCCCUAGCUGGUCUGAGAGGAUGACCAGCCACACUGGAACUGAGACACGGUCCAGACUCCUACGGGAGGCAGCAGUGGGGAAUAUUGCACAAUGGGCGCAAGCCUGAUGCAGCCAUGCCGCGUGUGUGAAGAAGGCCUUCGGGUUGUAAAGCACUUUCAGCGAGGAGGAAGGCGUUG